AAAUUGAAGAGUUUGAUCAUGGCUCAGAUUGAACGCUGGCGGCAGGCCUAACACAUGCAAGUCGAACGGUAACAGGAAGCAGCUUGCUGCUUUGCUGACGAGUGGCGGACGGGUGAGUAAUGUCUGGGAAACUGCCUGAUGGAGGGGGAUAACUACUGGAAACGGUGGCUAAUACCGCAUAACGUCGCAAGACCAAAGAGGGGGACCUUCGGGCCUCUUGCCAUCAGAUGUGCCCAGAUGGGAUUAGCUUGUUGGUGAGGUAACGGCUCACCAAGGCGACGAUCCCUAGCUGGUCUGAGAGGAUGACCAGCCACACUGGAACUGAGACACGGUCCAGACUCCUACGGGAGGCAGCAGUGGGGAAUAUUGCACAAUGGGCGCAAGCCUGAUGCAGCCAUGCCGCGUGUAUGAAGAAGGCCUUCGGGUUGUAAAGUACUUUCAGCGGGGAGGAAGGUGUUGUGGUUAAUAACCGCAGCAAUUGACGUUACCCGCAGAAGAAGCACCGGCUAACUCCGUGCCAGCAGCCGCGGUAAUACGGAGGGUGCAAGCGUUAAUCGGAAUUACUGGGCGUAAAGCGCACGCAGGCGGUCUGUCAAGUCGGAUGUGAAAUCCCCGGGCUCAACCUGGGAACUGCAUUCGAAACUGGCAGGCUUGAGUCUUGUAGAGGGGGGUAGAAUUCCAGGUGUAGCGGUGAAAUGCGUAGAGAUCUGGAGGAAUACCGGUGGCGAAGGCGGCCCCCUGGACAAAGACUGACGCUCAGGUGCGAAAGCGUGGGGAGCAAACAGGAUUAGAUACCCUGGUAGUCCACGCCGUAAACGAUGUCUACUUGGAGGUUGUGCCCUUGAGGCGUGGCUUCCGGAGCUAACGCGUUAAGUAGACCGCCUGGGGAGUACGGCCGCAAGGUUAAAACUCAAAUGAAUUGACGGGGGCCCGCACAAGCGGUGGAGCAUGUGGUUUAAUUCGAUGCAACGCGAAGAACCUUACCUGGUCUUGACAUCCACAGAAGAAUCCAGAGAUGGAUUUGUGCCUUCGGGAACUGUGAGACAGGUGCUGCAUGGCUGUCGUCAGCUCGUGUUGUGAAAUGUUGGGUUAAGUCCCGCAACGAGCGCAACCCUUAUCCUUUGUUGCCAGCGGUCCGGCCGGGAACUCAAAGGAGACUGCCAGUGAUAAACUGGAGGAAGGUGGGGAUGACGUCAAGUCAUCAUGGCCCUUACGACCAGGGCUACACACGUGCUACAAUGGCGCAUACAAAGAGAAGCGACCUCGCGAGAGCAAGCGGACCUCAUAAAGUGCGUCGUAGUCCGGAUUGGAGUCUGCAACUCGACUCCAUGAAGUCGGAAUCGCUAGUAAUCGUGGAUCAGAAUGCCACGGUGAAUACGUUCCCGGGCCUUGUACACACCGCCCGUCACACCAUGGGAGUGGGUUGCAAAAGAAGUAGGUAGCUUAACCUUCGGGAGGGCGCUUACCACUUUGUGAUUCAUGACUGGGGUGAAGUCGUAACAAGGUAACCGUAGGGGAACCUGCGGUUGGAUCACCUCCUUA
rnacentral:rRNA from 5 species